rnacentral:rRNA from 1 species
GACGGAGGGUGCAAGCGUUGUUCGGAAUUACUGGGCGUAAAGAGCGUGUAGGCGGUUUGAUAAGGCGAGUGUGAAAGCCCGAGGCUCAACUUCGGAAGUGCACUCGAAACUGUCAGGCUUGAGUACGGGAGAGGGAAGUGGAAUUCCUGGUGUAGAGGUGAAAUUCGUAGAUAUCAGGAGGAACACCGGUGGCGAAGGCGGCUUCCUGGACCGAUACUGACGCUGAGACGCGAAAGCGUGGGGAGCAAACAGU